rnacentral:lncRNA from 1 species
UCGAGUUUAAGAUUAUCUGAAACGCAAGGAAGCAAACAGAAGUUAUUAGUGGAGUAAAUGAUAUACAUUUUAACUUGGAAAGGAAAAAGAGAAGUUAGUUGCAGUAAUUCAUAGCGUAAACGCUUACAGUAAAUCUGGAAGAAAGCUUAUCUCUGGGAAUACAAAUAUCCCAGGUUUUUUCAAUGAUCGUCUGUUAUAAUCGUUAUUCUAAGACAGUGGUCGUAAGGGGGUAAGAAGAAACGAAAAGGAAGAAGAAUCAAAAGAAAAAAAAACACGUGAGGACCUUCCUUUUUCUGGAGGAAGGACCACCGCAGGGGGGCGGUUACAAUGUUUGACAGCCACAAGAGACUCGGUGACUAAUUAGUGUAAAAACUAACCCUGCGACCUACUCUGGCAACCCGACACCUUCGUCCUUCCUCCCGCGCACACUUACUGGCAUAUGCUAGGGCAUGUGUCUCUUUGGAUACAUCGAAAGAAGAGCACAGAGAGGAAAGGAAAGAGGAGAUGAAGAGUCAUCCUCACAAUACGAAAAGCGUGUGUGUGGCCUGACACUGGCAACUAAGGAAUUUGGACACGCGAUUCUUCUUAUUCCCUUAUUCUAUUGUUUCAAUUCAUUAAGAGUUACUCUUUAACUCAAAACAGAACACAUAGGGGAUAGAAUGCCAAUUAUAAAACAGAAAUUGUCGAGAAUUUCACUGCGUUGGAUUCCAAUUUUUUACAAAGCUGGGUUGGCACGUCUGUCCAAGAGCAAUUAAAGGAACAAACUGUUUCAUGGCACAUGAAAGAAGGGUCUACGAGUCAAAAUUCUUUCCGCGCGUAAAGCAAUAAAUUCUCGAAUGGAACACGAGCCAAAACCAUCAAGAAGUUUCCCUCUCUUUCUCUCUCUCCUUCUACUUUAUAAGCGCACUGAUUCAAGAAGAUUCGUUUCAACAAAACAAUGGUAAAUCAGGACCAAUAGCAACCAAAUGGAAAUUAAUUCCAAGAGGACAAAUUUCGACAUUAUUUUUGAUGGUGUUAACGGGUGAUUCCAAAGAUUCGCGCACCGUCCUCCCACCGAUUAGUGACUGAAGAGGGAUCAAAUUCAUUAAUCGGCGCAACCGCAGGUGCAUUAGGACACAAUGAAGAGGGACGAGGGUUAAGAAAGACAGAACGUAAAGCUUCUUGAGAUUCGACACGCGAACUAGAGCGUAACAAAUAGCUUUUUUGUUUCCUUGUCUGAACAUGACUAUUCUAUAAACAUCAUUUUUCUCUUGGAAGUAACACCAUAGAACGACAAAGUAGUAUACGUAAAAUUUCUUAUUAAUAUAAAUUUGUAGUGAAAUUCUGAGAUUUGUCUUACCAUAGUAAAAAAUUAUAGUUAAAAUAAUAUUUUUUACCAAACUUUUUGAAACUCUCUUAGGCAGACAUUUGUAAUUUCCAACGCUAUGGAGGAUUCUUUCGUGCUGGUAAUUCUUUGGAAAGUCGUAAACACGUUCAAGGCUUCACUGUCUUUCCCAGGCUUCCAAGGCUUCGUUUAUAUUACAUAUGUUUACGUUACUUUACGCACGGUACAGUUUCUAUUGCUGUUCCCUACUCAUGGCGACAGGAGAGCGGGAUUAAUAAGGCGUGGACAGGAGAAGAUCUAAAGAGUACACAAAGUGGGAGUGUGGUGCUCGAAAUACGACGAAAGCUAAUGAUAGAGUUCCGAUACGAGCAAUAGCGAUCGUUCAACUGAUUUUCAAGUUUAUAUGUCAACGAACUAUGCGAGAUGCCGCCUUUCAAUAUCAUUAAAACUUACUACAAAAAAUAUAGAUAUGUUAUAAAAACACUUCUUUUGCCCGUUUCAAGUAUGCAUCUCGUAUAGAAAUAAUGUCAUUGACUCGUUUGUGAUGCAAUAAAGUUUCAUGUACUGGUAGGGCAUAAAUCUGAACAACGUGUUAAAACAAUUAUUACUACUAAUUACUCGCAAGACGAUAAUAGCUUCUAAUGCAUCCAUGCUUCAUUGUCGUACUUUAUAACAGGUUUAUAACAGGUGUAAAGCUAAGAUGAGUAUAAGACGUUUCAUUCAGGAAAGAAUGAAUAUUGCAUCUAUAAAGGUGUAAAGAGAUUGAAAAGAUCAGCCUGUGAUAAUAGUCGCGUAAAGAAACGGAUCGACCAUAGAUGUUUACCGUGCGUAGCUCAGGCCCUUAUAAUUUCUCGUGGAAGACGGGCUCGUAUCUCAGGUCAAUUAAGGCGAACUCGUCCGUAAACGACAAACACGUGGAACACGAUACAUACUGUCGCAAAGACUUCCCUGCAUCCCUCAUUCUACUUUAUUACUUGAUUGUUGGUGAGUUUCAACUUGUCAAAUGAAACCGGUUGCUUCAUCCAGUGUGCACCACUGGCAGGACUAUCAGGGUG